GGCGGAAUAGCUAAAAGCCAUACGUCAGUGGUGGCAGCGGUGGGAUUCGAACCCACGCCUCCAGUCUCUCAGGAGGCGUGGGUUCGAAUCCCACCGCUGCCA